UUUCUAUUGGUCACGGCAGGCCCUGUCAAACUGCUGUGCAAUUGGCGUCUUGUGAAAAAGCCCAGCUCUCCCACACUUUGAUUCGGCUUUUGACUCGGGCCCAGUUUCAGUGUUGGCAAGCCUACUCUCGCCAACAGUGAUCAGGGAUCCGCUGAAUCCCCCAGGGCCUUGCUGCAAGACCUGCUGCGACAACCGCCGGCACUCCCAGGGAGGGAGGUCCUCCGAGCGCUCUGCUGCCUGGCGGAAUGGGAGUGUGACCACAGUUACCACAACAGCUGUGUCCGUGAAACUCCCCUGCC
rnacentral:lncRNA from 1 species